rnacentral:lncRNA from 1 species
UGUCUAAUAUGGAUAAACUGCCAUAGGUAGAUUCUUUGUUGGACAAUCCUUAUCCAUACUCAUGACCUAGCAAGGAUAAAUCUAGUGUACAAUCAUUAGUACAUGGUUUUAACCCAAAUUUACUAAAGUAAAAUCAUAGUAGGUAGUCAUGCCCUCAGAUCAGGGGUCCAAUUGCAUGAUGUACAUAUGAGAUUAUCAUCUCCAAAUCGAUAAUGGUUUCCAAGAAAUGAUCUCAUAACAUUGAUAGUUCAACAUG